rnacentral:rRNA from 1 species
UACUUGCUGACGACCGGCGCACGGGUGCGUAACGCGUAUACAAUCUACCCAUUACUAAUGGAUAGCCCAUGGAAACGUGGAUUAUUACCUUAUGGUAUUUAAGAAUCGCCUGAUUUUUAAAUUAAAGGUUACGGUAAUGGAUGAGUAUGCGUCCUAUUAGCUAUUAUGUAGGGUAACGGNCUACAUAGGCGAUGAUAGGUAGGGGUUCUGAGAGGGAGAUCCCCCACACUGGUACUGAGACACGGACCAGACUCCUACGGGAGGCAGCAGUGAGGAAUAUUGGACAAUGGGAGAAAUCCUGAUCCAGCCAUGCCGCGUGCAGGAAGACGGUCCUAUGGAUUGUAAACUGCUUUUAUACAGGAAGAAAAAGGAGUACGUGUACUCCAUUGACGGUACUGUAUGAAUAAGGAUCGGCUAACUCCGUGCCAGCAGCCGCGGUAAUACGGAGGAUCCGAGCGUUAUCCGGAAUUAUUGGGUUUAAAGGGUCCGUAGGCGGGAUAAUAAGUCAGUGGUGAAAGUUUGUGGCUCAACCAUAAAAUUGCCAUUGAUACUGUUAUUCUUGAGUUAUUGUGAAGUGGUUAGAAUGUGUAGUGUAGCGGUGAAAUGCAUAGAUAUUACACAGAAUACCAAUUGCGAAGGCAGAUCACUAACAAUGAACUGACGCUGAUGGACGAAAGCGUAAGUAGCGAACAGGAUUAGAUACCCU